CUCCCCGAGGCCUUGAGCCUCCUGAAGGGCCCAGCGAGACCAGCUGGUUGAUAGGCCGGAUGUGGAAGCGCUGCAAGGCGUUGAGCUAACCGGUACUAAUGGCCCGUGAGGCUUGACCAU
rnacentral:rRNA from 1 species